GCGAUGGCUCCGCCCCCGGCCCCGCCUCGGCCCCCUCAGAGCCCGAGGAGCCGAGGAGCGGUUUGAGUUGGAAUAAACCCUUUAACAUCGGUGGGGCCAACAGUGGCCCCAGCCCUGCCGGGGCCACCACUAACCCGUGUCCCCGAGUGCCAUGCCCACACCUUCUCUGAACAUAUCCAGGGAUGGGGACUUCACUGUUCCAGGGCUGAACUAUCCUUUCAGUGAAGAAAGUUUUGCAAUAUCCAACCUGAACUUCCCCGGGCGCAACUUGAGACUAUGUUCUCUUGUCACUUGUCAGGGCAAGCCCAUCCCUUAACCGUGUCCCCAGGUGACACAUCCACAGGUUUUUUGAACACACACUGGGACGGUGAUUUCACCACUGCCCUGGGCAGCCUGUUCAGUGCCUGACCACCCGUUCCUUUGUUGAGGAAUACCUCUGGCCCUUUGUUGAGGAAUACCUCUGGCCCUUUGUUGAGGAAUACCUCUGGCCCUUUGUUGAGGAAUGCCUCUGGUUCCUUUGUUGAGGAAUGCCUCUGGCGCAGGUAGCUCAGUUUGCAACCUGCAGAUUGAGAUGCAGAUUGAGCUCUAGGUGCGAACUGCCAACCUUUGGGAUAACAAAGGACAUGAAGAGGAGAGAUGCCAGCCGGGUGGAUGGACAUGGAGAGGGGCGCAGGAGCAGGGGACUCAGGAGGAAGAGCAAGACUUGCUCACUCACGGAUUGUGACGGUAUAAAAGCCCAGGGAUCCUUUGCUCAGGGCCCCUCCUCUGAGGCACCAGCUCGGAGCUGUUCCUGUGUUACUGCACCACGAAUAAAUUGCAUUAUGGAACGAGGCAUCUGAGGAUCUGGUAUGGGAAACCUGGGGUGGAACCGAUGCAAGCCCUGCUCUACAAGCAAAAGGUUUGCCAAACCUGCUUCUGUGGGCCCUUAUCCUCCAGCUGAAGAGCAUAUGAGAGAAUGAUCAGAUGGAGAAGACAAAGGUCACGCUGUCAUCUUCAGGAGGGACCAUGCUAAGAGGACGCUGCAAAUGUCCUGACUGGAGUAACUGCAUUCUUCCUUACUGGUGAAGUCUGGCAGCUCUGAGGGCUGGCUGCCACCCCAUACUGGGCAGCACUGCCCAGAAAACACUUUGUCUUUAUUGUUACCGGUGUUGAUCAUCACCACAGGUGUCUGAUAUUACAUUUAGUAGCUGUCUCAGUCAUAUGGGGUUGGGUGGGUUUCAGCUCAUGCUCCUCUGACUGGUGCCUGCUCCAAAUGGCAGUGGUGUGGGUGAGGACAUCCCUGUCACCAUCCCCAUCCACCCUGACCUAUCCCUUGGUAGACCUAUCUCCCCAAAGCAGAGGGCUUUGCAGGAGAAGGUUGGAAUCACCAAGAACAGACACUUGGAAUCACAGAA